CAAUGUUAAAGUUUGGUAAUUUCCCCGUUACCGGGGGUAUAUUGACUUUUAAAGUUACCGCCCCUAUGGCCCCGCACUUUGCAAAUUUUCAUGACUUGGGAAAUGUGAAAUCGUUGAAGUAUAAAAUGUUCACAACAUAUGAAGGCAAUUCUUGAUCUUAAACUUUGAUCCGCAUCAAAAGAAACUGAAUAAUCUACGUUUUGAGUAUCUUGCAGUCAUCA